GACGAACGCUGGCGGCGUGCUUAACACAUGCAAGUCGAACGGAAAGGCCCUGCUUUUGUGGGGUGCUCGAGUGGCGAACGGGUGAGUAACACGUGAGCAACCUGCCCUUGACUUUGGGAUAACUUCAGGAAACUGGGGCUAAUACCGGAUAGGAGCUCCUGCUGCAUUGUGGGGGUUGGAAAGUUUCGGCGGUUGGGGAUGGACUCGCGGCUUAUCAGCUUGUUGGUGGGGUAGUGGCUUACCAAGGCUUUGACGGGUAGCCGGCCUGAGAGGGUGACCGGCCACAUUGGGACUGAGAUACGGCCCAGACUCCUACGGGAGGCAGCAGUGGGGAAUAUUGCACAAUGGGCGGAAGCCUGAUGCAGCAACGCCGCGUGCGGGAUGACGGCCUUCGGGUUGUAAACCGCUUUCGCCUGUGACGAAGCGUGAGUGACGGUAAUGGGUAAAGAAGCACCGGCUAACUACGUG
rnacentral:rRNA from 1 species